CGGGCUGUAGUGUCAACGGCUAGCACACAGACUUUGGGAGUCUGCAGACUGGGUUCGAAUCCCAGCAGCCCGA
rnacentral:tRNA from 1 species